rnacentral:rRNA from 1 species
CUGAUCGCCUGCCGCGUGAUGAUGAAGGCCUUCGGGUUGUAAAGCUCUUUUGGCGGGGACGAUGAUGACGGUACCCGCAAAUAAGCCCCGGCUAACUUCGUGCCAGCAGCCGCGGUAAGACGAAGGGGGCUAGCGUUGUUCGGAAUUACUGGGCGUAAAGCGAGUGUAGGUGGUUGUCCAAGUUGGAUGUGAAAGCCUUGAGCUCAACUCAAGAAAUGCAUUCAGGACUGGGCGGCUAGAGGACCGGAAGGAUAGUGGAAUUCCCAGUGUAGUGGUGAAUACGUAGAGAUUGGGAAGAACACCAGUGGCAAGGCGGCUAUCUGGACGGUUUCUGAC